rnacentral:rRNA from 1 species
CCUACGGGAGGCAGCAGUGGGGAAUAUUGGACAAUGGGGGAAACCCUGACCCAGCGACGCCGCGUGAGUGAAGAAGUAUUUCGGUACGUAAAGCUCUAUCAGCAGGAAAGAAAAUGACGGUACCUGACUAAGAAGCCCCGGCUAACUACGUGCCAGCAGCCGCGGUAAUACGUAGGGGGCAAGCGUUAUCCGGAUUUACUGGGUGUAAAGGGAGCGUAGACGGCAGCACAAGUCUGGAGUGAAAUCCCGGGGCUUAACCCCUGAACUGCUUUGGAAACUGUGCGGCUGGAGUGCAGGAGGGGUAAGCGGAAUUCCUAGUGUAGCGGUGAAAUGCGUAGAUAUUAGGAGGAACACCGGUGGCGAAGGCGGCUUACUGGACUGUAACUGACGUUGAGGCUCGAAAGCGUGGGGAGCAAACAGGAUUAGAUACCCGUGUAGUC